UACAUCAUUGGGAAUGGAGGGAAAUAAAUGACUGGAUGGUCGCUGCUUUUUAAGUUUCAAAUUGACAUUCCAGACAAGCGGUGCCUGAGCCCGUGCCUGUCUUCAGAUCUUCACAGCACAGUUCCUGGGAAGGUGGAGCCACCAGCCUCUCCCUGACAAGCAAAGUGGAUCAGCAAAGGCUGCAGUCACCAGCAUCUUUUCCAACCUUAAUGAACUGUAUCCUCAAAAGAACACUAUCAGACUGGUAAGACAAGCAUUAUUGUCCCACUUCACAGAUGAAGAGCUUGGGGGCCCUGUGGAUGUGUAGGAGAGUCGGCCUUCCUUUUUAUAGGCCUUUUGCUGAGCUCAGAGGACAGAGCAGAAGACAAAGCCGAAUGCAGCCCUAAGCAGACACUAUCCCAGCCCAAGGAGCUAUGCAGACAGCUCCUGCCUAGAGGAGAAACAAUUCUCUCCUUCAGCCAGGCAUGUGGCACAGAGGUGAACAGGAAAUGCUUAGGGAGACAGUUCACAGAUAUAUAUGUACUUCACAGGGCACAAUUUAAUCCAUAAAUCAAUCAUGGAUCACCGCUAAAGAAAACAAAAUAUGCUGCCACUAAUUUGCCACCACCCUGUGAGCAUGAUUGGAUGAUGUUUAUUUUGAUUAGGAGAUUGCUCCAUUUAUAAAUCUUCAAUACAUCCUGUCCCCCUAAAACGGCAUCUGGGUCUUUUGAGGGUUAAAAAAAAAAAAAAGUGAAAUUGGAUGAGGGAUGAGAGCUGGACUUCUGUGUGUCCCGGGGUCCCUGGAUCCACAGCCUGGUGCCUAGCAUCAGUUAAGCCCACGCUGGGGUCGCAUCACAUCCCGCAAAGCCACGUGCUCUGUGAGGCCAACAGGAGCCCCGCCGGGUGGACCAGCUGGAAUCUCAGAGAGCGCCGACUCUGAAACUACCCGGCUCUGCAGAAGCACGCUGGGCCCAGGGGCUUCUAGACUGACAGCUCCAUUUAUCAACUACCUAUUGGUUUUAAAAAUUGGAGUGUCUUUUCCGCGUUGACUGAUUUUGGCUCUAAGAGAUGUCGCUGGUCAUUUCAGAGUGACUGAACCUCCCCUCUAACAGAUCCCGGGAAUUGUUUUCAGGAAAGGUAAAAGGCAGCCUUUUCUGUCACAACACAACGCUGAGCCGGCAGCCUGGCUCUGUCAGGAUCUGGGGCUCCCGCGCCCGAGAAGCCCAGCCUCGCCGGCGGCCAAGUUCACCGCGAGGCCCCGCGCUGCCUGCGCUGCGCUCCCGGACCCGCACCGACCGCAGCGCGCGCCGCCGGUGCUUCUCCCACCCCAGCCUGGAAGCUGCCUCCCUCCGCCUAUGCCUGCAGGAUAAGAAGCCCGAGGAGGCGGAGCAUGGAACUCGACAGUUAAAACAUUUAAGAGAGAAAACCUAGUGUCUUGCUGGCCUGAAAUCGAGUACGCAGCCCGGGGUGAUCAGGGUCUCCCGGCCCGGAUGUGUGAGACUUGCUUCCCCUGGGCAAUAGGCGAUACGAUGCUUUAGGAGGAAGGUGUCUCUCCCUCCUAAGCCCCGGAGGGGAGAACUUCCAAAGACAGAAAACCACAGGCUUCCUGGCACAGAGCUUUCCCUUUAUCAGCUAAAGCAGAAUCUUUUCUGGCCUUAACCUGGCCCCUUCCUCUAACUGCAGGCAGAGAGGCAGACAGAAAAGCACUUGCUGAAACACAAAGUUUUGUUCUGUCCUCAACGAACUGUCUAGAGCUGAUUGCUGAUAGUCGUGGUGCAUUAUGCCUUCCUGGUUUUCAUUUAAUUGGGCACCACGCUGCCUUUCAAGACGCCUUAAAGGAACCAACAACCAAAUCCAAGAGAGCUGGACAGACCAUUGAACACACAGUAGGCUGUGUCUCGUGGCUUUCGUUGUCUGGUGCCUCAAAGAAAACACCAGAAAGAUUGUUUCUAAGCUAGAGCCACCCCAGAUUGCUUAAAGUGCAAAGCUCACUGCUGUUGGGGGUACCCUUGUGAGACACUGGAAAGCUGGUUUUACCGUGGCCCUAUGAAGAGGAAGACUGAAAUUUAGACAGUAAUACCUUUACUAGGAUUGGAAAAGAUUUGGUUAAUGACAGCCCUGUCAUUUCUAAAACCCAUUAUCACUGUAUGAGAGAUUCCUUUGCGCUGCAUCCUCGACAGUGCUUCCUAAGGCUCUGCCGACUUCCAGUUCUGGAACAAGAUGGUUAAACUCAUUUUUCCCUGCUCUGCUCCUCUAAAUACAACUAAGUACCUUGGAAACUAUUCAGCAGACAAUGAUAAAGGGCUCUGAAAGCUAGAAGAAAAGGUGUACUUGCAAGAAACCUCAGGACUUGAGUAACAGCAACAUGAUCUUGUUCUCACUAGAGAAUAAUUUCUACAUUAUGCCCAGGUUCUUCUGAGCUAUGAAGGGGCCCAGAUUUAAGGGCUAUUUUUGACACCCUAAAUGUGCUGAGACAAGUCAUUAAGGUGGUCCUGCCAGGACACAGCCAUCUAAAGCAGCAAUCUGCUUCUUGCCAGAAAAUCUCGUGCCUCUGCAGAGCCUUUUCCAGAAUGAACCACACCAUGCUGAGGAAAGGAGAAAGAGACUACCUACUGCAUUUCUGUCACUCGCUGAAAAGGACACUCUGUCAGAAAAUCUUCUAGCAAACUUCAAAGGGCAAAAUCACCCCUUGUUACUGAUAAAGCCCAGAGAGCUUCAGCAGCUAACAUUCCCUGGACAGGGCACAGCAAGGAUUUGAACCUAGGUCAGUCUGGCCAGAACACCCACAAGCUUUCCUUAACUCAGUGUGCUAUCUCCCCACGACUAGGUCACUACUGCUUUAUAAUCACCUUUGUAGCCACCAGUGGAUUUUGCUCAUCAGUAUUUUUCAGGCAAUUGAUACUUUAGAUAUUCAGCUGCAAGACGUAUGCAGUUUUCAUUGACAUCUUUUGGAGAAACUGACAAACCUGGACUUGACUUAAUGCCUUUGGAACCUUCCAAGAUGUUAUAUAACUCUAGAUAGAAGGCUGGGCCUCCAUGAUGUCAGGAAUGUUGCAUUCUUAUUUCCCCAUAGAUAAACCCAUUUGUCCACAAAGUCAAGGAGUCAGGCAGAGGCCCUUGCCAUGGGGCUUUUUAGGAUAAAGCAACAAGCCUGGACUUUGCUCUACAACAGGGUUUUGCAUAGGGAGUGGUAUGACCAGAUCCCUCAAGAAAGAAAGCUUAGAGACCAGGCCAGAGUCCACUGCAGUAGCCCAGUCAAGAGAGGAUGGUGACUUGGACUUGUAGUAGAGCCAGUUAGAAUGAAAGAAAUUGACACAUUCAGAAAUGGUUUUAGAGAUAGAGUCAAACUGGACCUGAUAAAGAACUAGAGAAGCGGAGUGAGGAUAAAGAGAAGAGCCAUGACUGACUCGGAAGAUUUUGUCUUGAAAAACUUGAGAACUCAAGACAGAGUGAAAUAAAAUCACAUGUGGGAAAAA
ensembl:lncRNA MIR4435-2HG MIR4435-2 host gene